GCGACCGAGCCGCAGGUGGCGGCGGGCGCGGGGCUCGGCCCGAGCUCGGGAGAUGGGGAAACUGAGGCACGGAGCUGGACAGUGACUCAGAUACCAGGAGCUGCCCAGCGUGGGGCUGAGUGCUCAAGUUGGGACUCAGCUGGCCCGAGUGCAAAUCCACUG